rnacentral:rRNA from 1 species
UGGGGAAUUUUGGGCAAUGGGGGAAACCCUGACCCAGCAACGCCGCGUGAAGGAUGAAGUAUUUCGGUAUGUAAACUUCGAAAGAAUAGGAAGAAUAAAUGACGGUACUAUUUAUAAGGUCCGGCUAACUACGUGCCAGCAGCCGCGGUAAUACGUAGGGACCAAGCGUUGUUCGGAUUUACUGGGCGUAAAGGGCGCGUAGGCGGCAUGACAAGUCACUUGUGAAAUCUCUGGGCUUAACCCAGAACGGCCAAGUGAUACUGUCGCGCUAGAGUGCAGAAGGGGCAAUCGGAAUUCUUGGUGUAGCGGUGAAAUGCGUAGAUAUCAAGAGGAACACCUGAGGUGAAGACGGGUUGCUGGGCUGACACUGACGCUGAGGCGCGAAAGCCAGGGGAGCAAACGGGAUUAGAUACCCAAGUAGUCCCUGAGCGGGCUGGCAAGGCGCAU